GCGCCAUUUCACAACCCUGUAAUUACGGCUUUUGCCAUUAACAAUUUGUCAAAGAAGAAUCGAAUAAUCGACAUCUCUAUUCACUGGGAGAAGCCCACCUCCCCCAGGCCUCAGCCCUCUCCGUGUUUCCUCCUUUGGUCUCCUUGUGCUGCGCUCGCAGUCUUCCUCCACCACACACACACGGAGCGAAACACAAACACAAACAUACGCCGAAGCACACACACGCACGCACAACCAUUUACAUAUCAUCAGCGGCCAUCUGCUCCGUGCUGCUCUAAAUGAUGGGUAAUUAACACGGCGCCUUUGUCUUCCUCUGACUGGAUGGUUGACACGUAUAGAUUUUUCAGCGGCGUAUAUGCGAAACGGGGAAGAACGAGUGCGAAAGAGAGAGAGAGCGAGAGAGAGAGAGAGAGAGAGAGCGAGGGAGAGAGAGAGAAAGCCAUAAUGGAUUGGUAUAUGAAUGAUGCGGCAGAACUGACCCAAAAAGGCAACACGGAGCUAUUAAGAUGAUGGAGGAGCGAUACGCAUGACGGGUCAAGGAAGGAAAGCCAACCCCCCUCCCACCAACCUACCCUUGCACGGUGUAGCGGAGCAGAAGGGAAGACAGCGGAAGCCGGCAGCCCCCCGAAACGACACGGACGAUUACCCUGACUUCUUUGACGUCUGGGUGCCCGGAGUCGAGGCUGCACGUCUUGAGAGCGUGAACAUGGCUGAAAUUUCCUGCAGGAAGGACAUCUCAAGACAAAUGUCACCUGAGAAGCUUUAAGAGGAGCUCGAGCUGUGUCUGGGAUCGUUCGGUGUGUGCGUUGCCCGCCAGGCCGGCUUCUCCCUCACCAGUGUGCCGGAAUUCCUUAAUCCCCUCCUAAACGCAGGAUCCUGGUCCCGAGCCAGGCCGCGCUGCCAAACCCUCUGCUGGUCAAAUGUCCUGAACGGGGGCCAGAGAUGAGCCGGCCUCCUCGGGUAAACAGCCGGGGAUGCCUCUUUAUUUAGAUUUACAUUCAUUUAUUU
rnacentral:lncRNA from 1 species